UCGAGGGGCAGCAUGGGAGUAGUAAUACUUCUGAUGGCGACCGGCGCACGGGUGCGUAACGCGUAUGCAACCUACCUGUAACAGGGGGAUAACACUGAGAAAUCGGUACUAAUACCGCAUAACACUAUGAGAGGCAUCUCUUGUGGUUGAAAGUUUCGGCGGUUACAGAUGGGCAUGCGUUGUAUUAGCUGGUUGGUAAGGUAACGGCUUACCAAGGCGACGAUACAUAGGGGGACUGAGAGGUUAACCCCCCACAUUGGUACUGAGACACGGACCAAACUCCUACGGGAGGCAGCAGUGAGGAAUAUUGGUCAAUGGACGGAAGUCUGAACCAGCCAUGCCGCGUGCAGGAAGACGGCUCUAUGAGUUGUAAACUGCUUUUGUACAAGGGUAAACCUGAAUACGUGUAUUCAGCUGAAAGUACUGUACGAAUAAGGAUCGGCUAACUCCGUGCCAGCAGCCGCGGUAAUACGGGGGAUCCAAGCGUUAUCCGGAUUUAUUGGGUUUAAAGGGUGCGUAGGCGGAUUGAUAAGUUAGAGGUGAAAUGUCCGAGCUUAACUCGGGAACUGCCUCUAAUACUGCUGAUCUAGAGAGUAGAUGCGGUAGGCGGAAUGUAUGGUGUAGCGGUGAAAUGCUUAGAGAUCAUACAGAACACCGAUUGCGAAGGCAGCUUACCAAUCUAUAUCUGACGUUGAGGCAC
rnacentral:rRNA from 1 species